rnacentral:lncRNA from 1 species
AUGAAUAUCCACACAAAGCCUUUGUGCUUGUUGGGUAUAAAAUACCCCCAGCCGAAGUUCAUGUCAGGAGUGACCCUCCGGGGAUUUUACCGAUGUCCGAUCUUCGUCGACAUCUUCCCGAACCUCUCCGGCGGCCGAGCCUCCACAGCGUUCCCGAGUUUUGCCGACGGAUAAACCCCCAUCAGUGUCGACUAGAUUCUCCGCGACGGACGAACUCCACCAAAGUUUCCGCGAUGGUCA